AGUCAUUCUGCCCAUUGAUUUUAAAAGGCUGCGGUAUAUUAACUGUACAAAGGUAGCAAAAUAAAUAGUUUUUUAAUUGAAAACUUGAAUGAAAGAGUUGAUAAAAUAUAAAUUGUUUCAAAAAUUUAAUUUAAAUUAAAAGUUAAAAUGCUUUUAUUAUUUUAUUAGACGAUAAGACCCUAAGAAUUUAAUUAUUUAAAUUAUUUUGAAAAAUUUAUUAAUAUAAUUUAAUUUUGUUGGGAGGAUAAUAAAAUUAAACUUUUAUUUAAAAAAAUAUUUAUAAAUAAAUUUAAUGAUUAUUAUUAAGAUUAUUAGAAAAAAUUACCUUAGGGAUAACAGCGUAAUAAUUUUGGAGAGUUCAUAUUGAUAAAAUUGUUUGCGACCUCGAUGUUGAAUUAAAAUAAAAUUUAAAUGAAGAAAUUUAAGGUUUUAGUCUGUUCGACUAUUAAAAUUUUAC
rnacentral:rRNA from 1 species